GACGAACGCUGGCGGCAUGCCUAAUACAUGCAAGUCGAGCGAACAGAUGAAGUGCUUGCACUUCUGACGUUAGCGGCGAACGGGUGAGUAACACGUAAGGAAUCUACCUAUAAGCGGGGGAUAACAUUCGGAAACGGGUGCUAAUACCGCAUAAUAUCUUCUUCCGCAUGGAUGAAGAUUGAAAGACGGCUCUGCUGUCCCUUAUAGAUGACCUUGCGGUGCAUUAGUUAGUUGGUGGGGUAACGGCCUACCAAGACGAUGAUGCAUAGCCGACCUGAGAGGAUGAUCGGCCAAACUGGGACUGGGACACGGCCCAAACUCCUACGGGAGGCAGCAGUAGGGAAUCUUCCGCAAUGGGGGAAAGCCUGACGGAGCAAUGCCGCGUGAGUGAAGAAGGCCUUCGGGUCGUAAAACUCUGUUAUAAGAGAAGAACAAAUUGUGGAGUAACUGCUACAGUCUUGACGGUAUCUUAUCAGAAAGCCACGGCUAACUACGUGCCAGCAGCCGCCGUAA
rnacentral:rRNA from 1 species